ensembl:piRNA 21ur-542 ncRNA
AUAUUAUGAUUAGUUUCUCAU